UGCUUCCACUGAGAAGAUAGUGGCGGACGGGUGAGUAACACGUGGGUAACCUGGCCAUAAGAGGGGGAUAACAUCCGGAAACGGGUGCUAAUACCGCAUAGUUUUCUUGGUCGCAUGAUUGAGAAAGGAAAGACGGCCUUUGUGCUGUCGCUUAUGGAUGGACCCGCGGCGUAUUAGUUAGUUGGUGAGGUAACGGCUCACCAAGACGAUGAUACGUAGCCGACCUGAGAGGGUGAUCGGCCACAUUGGGACUGAGACACGGCCCAAACUCCUACGGGAGGCAGCAGUAGGGAAUCUUCCGCAAUGGACGAAAGUCUGACGGAGCAACGCCGCGUGAGUGAAGAAGGUUUUCGGAUCGUAAAACUCUGUUGUCAGAGAAGAACAAGUCGGAGAGUAACUGCUCCGGCCUUGACGGUAUCUGACCAGAAAGCCACGGCUAACUACGUGCCAGCAGCCGCGGUAAUACGUAGGUGGCAAGCGUUGUCCGGAUUUAUUGGGCGUAAAGCGAGCGCAGGCGGUUCCUUAAGUCUGAUGUGAAAGCCCACGGCUCAACCGUGGAAGGUCAUUGGAAACUGGGGAACUUGAGUGCAGAAGAGGAGAGUGGAAUUCCAUGU
rnacentral:rRNA from 1 species